GAAAGUGAGUUAGAAAUCAGAUGAAAGGGGAAGAAGACGGGAAAAGAAAAGAGAGAAGAGGGAGAUGAAAAGAGGAAAAAAAAGAAGAAGAAAGAAAACAUAAGGGAGGGGAUCGAUUGAGUGUUAGAAGAAAAAGGAGGAUGAACAAAGGAGAAUGGGAGUUUGAUUUUGCUGCUUUUGAAACUGAACUGUGAGAAGGGAAAGGGAGGAAGUUUUCAGAAGUGAUGGGUUUCCGUUCGGGUUGUUUAGUAGCUAUGGUUGUCUUGCUUUAGGAGGGCGAGAUUGGCGCACAGGGGAGACGCUUUGAACACAAAGUAACAAUGUUGUAAAUUUUUAUUCCCAAAGGAAACUUGAUGGUACAAAAGGAUUUGUGAAGGAAGACUCACUGCUAGUAGUGUAGUGGAGAAAAACAUAAGGGUUUUUUGUAAAAAUUUCUGGUCAUGGCUCCAUCUGCAAGCACAUCGAAAGUUGCUAGAUCUAUAGCCUUAAGGAUAAAGGCGGUACAGAUGAAACGUAGUAGAAAAACCGUCUCUGAACCACCUAUUACUUCUCCAAAUCGUAAACCUGCUACCCCCAAGAAGGCUGAAGCAAGACUGACAGAAGCCAACAAGGCUACCUUCCCUAGGAGAAGUCCGCGAAAACAUAAAGCUACUCAGUCCAGCAAGGAUGCGUCCGCCAAGAGAAGUAUGCCACCGCCUAAAGCAGGAAAUUCCAAGAAGGCUGUGGCAACAAAGAAGUCGUCGUCCAGUCGUAAGUCUGCAAAGAGCAAGUCAUCCGAGGAUUCU